GGAAGAAGAGUUUAUUCAGAUAGAUUUGUC
rnacentral:misc_RNA from 1 species